rnacentral:rRNA from 1 species
AACGAACGCUGGCGGUAGGCUUAACACAUGCAAGUCGAACGCAUCCUUCGGGGUGAGUGGCAGACGGGUGAGUAACGCGUGGGAACGUGCCCUUCAGUUCGGGAUAACCCAGGGAAACUUGGGCUAAUACCGGAUACGUGCGAGGGCAGUACGAUUUAUCGCUGAAGGAUCGGCCCGCGUCUGAUUAGCUAGUUGGUGGGGUAAUGGCCCACCAAGGCGACGAUCAGUAGCUGGUCUGCGAGGAUGAUCAGCCACAUUGGGACUGAGACACGGCCCAAACUCCUACGGGAGGCAGCAGUGGGGAAUAUUGGACAAUGGGCGCAAGCCUGAUCCAGCCAUGCCGCGUGAGUGAUGAAGGCCUUAGGGUUGUAAAGCUCUUUCGUCCGGGACGAUAAUGACGGUACCGGAAGAAGAAGCCCCGGCUAACUUCGUGCCAGCCGCCGCCGUAAUAC